rnacentral:rRNA from 1 species
GAUGAACGCUGGCGGCGUGCCUAAUACAUGCAAGUCGAGCGAACGGACGAGAAUCUUGCUUCUCUGAUGUUAGCGGCGGACGGGUGAGUAACACGUGGAUACCCUACCUAUAAGACUGGGAUAACUUCGGGAAACCGGCUCUAAUACCGGAUAAUAUUUUGAACCGCAUGGUUCAAGAGUGAAAGACGGUCUUGCUGUCACUUAUAGAUGGAUCCUCGCUGCAUUAGCUAGUUGGUAAGGUAACGGCUUACCAAGGCAACGAUGCAUAGCCGACCUGAGAGGGUGAUCGGCCACACUGGAACUGAGACACGGUCCAGACUCCUACGGGAGGCAGCAGUAGGGAAUCUUCCGCAAAGGGCGAAAGCCUGACGGAGCAACGCCGCGUGAGUGAUGAAGGUCUGCGGAUCGUAAAACUCUGUUAUUAGGGAAGAACAUAUGUGUAAGUAACUGUGCACAUCUUGACGGUACCGAAUCAGAAAGCCACGGCUAACUACGUG